rnacentral:lncRNA from 1 species
CCUUUCUUUGUCUUUUUCAAGUAUAAAGGUGGUAAUAGUGGAGGAUUCUGUGACUUCGGCCAUAAAUCAGGACCAUUCAUAGGCAAUAUUGGAACUUCAUAAAUUUUUUGAUAUGUCUCGACCUUGUAACAAUCAUCGACAUAGUUUAAAACUUCAUCAUUUUUCAACCAAAUAGAUGAUAUAGCAUGCUUACAAGGGAUACCCGAAAGUUCCCAUUGCCUACAACUACAUGUCCUGUUAUAUAAAUCAACAGCCCAAGUAUCACCUUCAACAGGUCCAAUCACUUCAUAGUUCCACAUAUUCGACUUUUUAGG